ACCGCAUGGUUCAGUACAUAAAAGGUGGCUUCGGCUACCACUUACAGAUGGACCCGCGGCGCAUUAGCUAGUUGGUGAGGUAACGGCUCACCAAGGCGACGAUGCGUAGCCGACCUGAGAGGGUGAUCGGCCACACUGGGACUGAGACACGGCCCAGACUCCUACGGGAGGCAGCAGUAGGGAAUCUUCCGCAAUGGACGAAAGUCUGACGGAGCAACGCCGCGUGAGUGAUGAAGGUUUUCGGAUCGUAAAGCUCUGUUGUUAGGGAAGAACAAGUGCCGUUCAAAUAGGGCGGCACCUUGACGGUACCUAACCAGAAAGCCACGGCUAACUACGUGCCAGCAGCCGCGGUAAUACGUAGGUGGCAAGCGUUGUCCGGAAUUAUUGGGCGUAAAGGGCUCUCAGGUGGUUUCUUAAGUCUGAUGUGAAA
rnacentral:rRNA from 1 species